CAUUAUGCAUCAACUUCACCAGCUCGCUUGCUUCUUAGCCACCUUUUCAUUACCUUAUUGUUGAUGACCCCCUGCUACCUUGGUCAGAAUAUGCUCAUUCCCUCUGUUUUGAGUGUGUUUGCGUGGGCAUACCUGUGCCCAUGCCGUAUGCAUGAUUGGUUAGGAGUCAUCACCUCCCGUGGUCGUUCACCUGCACGCCGCGACCUUGACUAGCGAGCCGAAUAGCUUUCUCUUGGAAAACAUGAAGCAUUUGCUCUCGCCCCAUCCGUUGUUGAGCUGGUGCUAUCUACGCUUUGUGAAAAGCCGUUAGGAAAAUCCUGGUGCUCGUGGGAAACGAGAGAAAGAGAGAAAUCGAACUGACCCUCAUCGCUCUUCCACUGCACGAACACAGAUAAAGGCAGCCUAACAAGCAUUGAAAAUGCCGCACAGAAGCGUAUCCAAGAGCAAUGACAACAAUCGUCAGUCAAGGGUGAAGGCAAUUCCAUUUCCACCAUCAGCUGAAAGGAGGACAACAGAGUUUCAAGGACAACAGCCAGAGGUGUAUCAACCAAGGUCAGGGAACACAACACCAACACAACCUCAUCCAAGUCAAGGAGGAUGGAAGUACUAGCCUGAUGAAAAAAAAGUCUGAAAUGUUCACCACGGCAAGGUGGUUCACACGACCUCGUGUCUCAAUUGAUGCCAAUGUACGUGCUGCAGUCCGCCCUUAAAGCUGUCUGCUUCAGCUGUCUUAUGGAGGCGAGUAAUAAACACGUUGAUCAGUGA